rnacentral:ncRNA from 1 species
CCUGCAUUGUUUUUUUUUUUUUUUUGAAAUCCUAAAUUUGGUUUACAAUUCCUUUAACGACUUCGGCGGGAUUGUUUUUAAGUUUCGUUCACGCCGUUUUUGUUAUGAAGUUCUACACAUAAAACGUAAUUGGCGUUUAUAAUCAAAUGUCAAUUGAUUUGUUUUUUUAUCUGAAUUAUAAAUUGCAGUUUUAUUACAACCUCUAGAACUGGAAGGGAACAUUAAUUUAUGUGCUCGAUGUUAUUGUACUAUUUGAGUGGCAUUCAGUACCUAAAAUAACCAUUCAAAGCAGUUCGUGCUGUCCUCCAUCACUCACCUUGUCGCCAUGUCUGGUGCUUCUCCACGCAACUAAACGCUAUAGUUUUGUGUUUGAGGGACUUCUGCUGUGCAAUUGGUGCUAACAAAUGUUUGAACGGAAGUGAGAAGGCAAUGCAGACAUAACCUUUUGGUUGGACACACCGACAUAAUAAUCUUAACAUAAUGUUUGCAUUGGUAUAAAUAAAAAUGAUGCUACAGAUGCUAUUUUGCUGCUCCAAAAUUGGUUUUUGGCUGCUCGAAGCGCUGCUCCAAAGUGUCUCAGACCAAUCACAUCACUGUACUCAUCUAAAUCGCCGCUUUUUUUUUUUUUAGUGGCCGCUAUGGCCACUAAUUUGGCUCAGCUUUAAAAGAAUACCUAACAGAAGUUCUUUACUGACUUAAAAAGAAACACCUUCACGGAGCCGUGCUGAUCCAGCUCUGUAGAAAGCAUAUGGGCAACACACGGGUCAAUCCCCCUUUCCACUUCCUCUCUCUAACCUUGUCGCGGCCGUGCUGGCCGUGCAGACAACCAGGCCAACGUGUAGGCCGUAUGAUGGGUUUUCUACGUCUUUCACAAGCGGCCAAAGCGGUGAUUGCUGGUGGUAGCAAUUACGAGAAUCUUGAGGACUGAAGUGGAGAAGGGUUCCAUGUGAACAGCAGUCGAACAUGGGUCAGUCGGUCCCAAGGGCAAGAAGUUCUUUCCGAAGCGGGAUCGCUUUUGCAGUGGAGAGAGCCCGCAGGGAACGAAGAGGAAUUGGAUUAAUAAUCUCGAACCCGGACAUUUGUCGUUCGGGGCCCAGUGCGGUAACGCAAAACAAGCUCGGAGACGCCUAUGCAAGCCCCGGGAAGAGUUUUCUCUGCAAGGAGUCCCUGAAAUGGGUUCGCCCCGAGAUGGGCAUGGUGGCUCCCUAGAGCAGUGCGGCUCUUGCGCUUGCGUCGUCCCUUGAAAAUCCGAGCGAGGAGUGUGAUUUUCGUGCCGGACCGUACCCACACCCGCGGCAGGUCUCCAAGGUAAACAGCCGGUAGUCGAUGCACCAAUGAAGGUAAGGGAAGUCGGCAAGUCCUAACCAAUUGGGAUAAGGUUUGGCUCCGAUGACUGAGCCGGUGGAUGGGUUCGUGUCCAAUGAGGGAAAAUCCGAGUCCCAGCCGAACCCUGAAGCAGCACUUGGGCCCAAUCCGCUCUGGCCGCUUGUAGAUGGCGUAUCAUUGGGAAGGAUAGGCAAAUAUGAGGAGGCACCAUUGGCCGAAAGCGCGCUGGGCGUGUUCCAGGGCGUCUUCUCAAAUUCGAAUGUGGCCAACCAGAAGCCGGAAAUAGUAAUUUGGCGGUGGUUGUGAGAAACAAACUUAAUAAGUGCGUCGGAGUAACUCUUGGUGAUUGAAAAUAUGGUGCACGUGAUGUUUCAAUCACGGUCAUCCAAAAUCAUGGUGGAAGAGUACGACUAGCGGAACGAUCGACAUAAUAUUUUACGCCAGGCGCCGAAAGCCGGGAAUCUGCCGUCCGAGCGGUCACACUCUGUC